rnacentral:lncRNA from 1 species
GGCUUUUACUCUCUCUCUGGGCGUGAGUGAGCCUGGGUGUCAGCCGCAGGUGCAAACCGCAAGCUGUAUGUACAGCCUUAAGUAGAGUAAUUACACCUUUACAGACAAUAGUGGCUGUGAGCCAAGUACGAGCUCAGAUGAGUGAUCACCUAAUGCACCUCACGUGGCAUGGUUAUAUAACAAGCAGAGUUGUGCGCCUGCAUUCCAAACCCUGCUAAGUCAUGCUGCACCAGGCAGCCACCUCAGACUACUACUGAGUAAAGCACAGCCAUUUCCUUCACAGUGCUGGAGGAAGGGAGGUGCAGCUUUGGCUCAGCUCUUAACAGUGCAACAUCUAGUGCCUCUAUAGUUCUCUUGGACACAGAUGGCUGCUUUCGAAGAAGAAAGAAGUGGAAAGUGAUGGAGUUUCUAUGCUCCAGCUCUCUUUGCCUGCUGCCAUCCACGUAAGAUGUGACUUGCUCCUCUUUGCCUUCUGCCAUAAUUGUGAGCCCCCCUCAGCCAUGUGGAAUGAUGGAAAACAGAACAAGCCAUGGAGGCCCCAGGGAUCAGGCAGGGCCAAGAGGAUCUGAUGGCGGAAGGGGGAGCACAUCAACAAGACCUUACAAGGCAACUUGCAUGGAUGCUCUGAAGCAACUUUGAGGUCUCCUUGAUGAGGAAAGUUGGCUCAACCUGCUGUAGAGUAGGCCCACAGCCAAGCCAUUGAGAGACAAGUCCAUGGGAGACAAAUUAGCUCAUGCAGCUGAGAUGUCCUGGAGAUUUUCCACAGCACCACUUGGCCAGUGCCUAGACAAGGCUUCCGAGGCGAUCCGGCAACAUCAGUCUUCAGCCGCUAAGCCAAGAAGAUCUGGGAAGGAGUCAAUCAGAGAGCCUUGGGCCAGAGUUCCAGGGGCUGUGGAAGUGGCUGCCAGGUGAGUUGAACAGUCCGAUUUUCAGUGGGGUCCUACACAGAUGGGACACAGCUUAGGAGGAAUCCUGGGCUGUGGGCAUUCCUUGGCCUAGUGGCCAGAUUUCUGGCACUUGUAGCAAGCUCCUGGGGGAGGAGGUUCUGGAGGAACCCCUGGCAGCUGCGGUUUGGGCGUUUGGAGUUCUUGUGUGCUGGAGAUGUGGCUGGGGUUUGUCUCACAGUGGAGGCAAGAAAUUGCAACUCAGAAAUACAUUGCUACUUGGCUGCCUCUACUCUAUUAUUGUAUAACUUGAAGGUGAGGUUAAUUAAGUCCUGUUGUGAGGUUUGAGGGCCGGAAUUUAAUUUUUGGAGUUUUAUUUAAUGUCAGGAGCGGAUUGGGUAAUAAAAUGUAUAUUGAGAAUAAGACGGCCUUUUGACAUUUUAGGGUCUUGGGCUGUAAAGCGUCUCAGGGUUGCUGCCGAACGAGCCAUGAACUGGGCUGGGUUUUUCAUAUUUGAUGAAAGAGCCUAAAUGCUAACUGAUUUGGGAGAGGUCGGAUAAAGAAAAAGAAGCAUUAACCUUGACUAUGCCUUUAGCUCCAGCCUCCUUUUUAAGAGGAAAUUGCUGGUCAGGUGGAGGAGGGCUAGUCGCGUCGCGGAACGAAACUAUAAGCCGGACUGGGUGUGAGGAGGGGAGGUGAUAAAAGGAUUAUAGGGUGGGGGAGCAGAGGCUGAGGAAGAAUUGGGACCUGGCUUGACCUGGCUUGGCCUGGCGAGGAGCAGCCUGGGGAGGAGGAGAGAGGUCAGAUGGGUCUGUAGAAAAGGAAGAUUAGAAAGACUCAGCGACGCUUGGGGUUGGGACUGAGAGGACAGGCGGGAGGGAAAGAAGGAGGAUUUGGGAUGAGUCACAUUGGGAACAGAGAGUACGGAGAGAACAAUGUGUAAAAGAAUGCCUGGACGUCAGGCACCUCAGACCAUUUGCCCAUUUUACGACAAGAAUUAUCGAGAUCUUGUGGGAUGGAAAAAUCGAAAGUGCCGUUCUGUGGCUAUUUUAGAGCCUUUGUCAAGUUUGUAUUGGGGCCAAGCGGUGUUGCAGAAUAAAAUAAGAUGCUUAGAUUUUAGGUCAGGCGAGAGUUGAAGAGGUUUUAAGUUCUUAAGAACACAGGCUAAGAGAGAAGAAGGAGGAAUGGAGGGUGGAAGGUUGCCCAUAGUGAAGGAGGCAAGUUUAAAGAGAAGGGUAGAGACACGGAGAAGGGGGUGGGGAGCAGCCCUGGGCUGCAACGUGGGUGAGCAGCCAAAGCAGGCGUCCUUGCAAUUGACUUGCCACCAAGGGAACAUGGGCGAAUGAUCAAGGAAGGCACCCCUGCGGAGAUCAGACACCAGUGGAACGUGGGUGAAUAAUCCAAGAGGCAUCUCGGCGAUGAUUAAACACCAAGGUAAGGCUGUCUUCCCGAGUCCGUGACCGGCGCCGGAGUUUUGGGUCCACAGAUAAAAUGUGUCUCCUUUGUCUCUACCCGAAAAUGAAAGGAACUGAAAUUAACAGAAGGGAGAGAUUGAAGUGUGGCGCCAAGCUUGAAAGGAGAAAGAGGUUGAGGGAUAGUGAGGGAGGUUGGAGAAGAGAGUAAAAAGAGGCCGCUUACUGGAUUUGAAAUUGGUGAGAUGUUCCUUGGGCUGGUCAGUCUGAGGACCUGAGGUUGUAGGUGGAUCUUUCUCAUGGAGCAAAGAGUAGGACAGGGGAUUGAUCUCCCAAGGGAGGUCCCCUGAUCCCAGUCACGGCACCAAAUUUCACUCGCGUCCGUGUGAAGAGACCACCAAACAGGAUUUGUGUGAGCAACAAGGCUGUUUAUUUCACCUGGAUGCAGGCGGGCUGAGUCUGAAAAGAGAGUCAGUGAAGGGAGAUAGGGGUGGUGCCGUUUUAUAGGAUUUGGGUAGGUAAAGGAAAAUUAGUCAAAGGGGGUUGUUCUCUGGCUGGCAGGAGUGGGAGGUCACAAGGUGCUCAGUAGGGGAGCUUUUGAGCCAGGAUGAGCCAGGAGAAGGAAUUUCACAAGAUAAUGUCAUCAGUUAAGGCAGGAACAG